UACGGGGGGGGCAAGCGUUGUUCGGAAUUACUGGGCGUAAAGGGCUCGUAGGCGGCCAACUAAGUCAGACGUGAAAUCCCUCGGCUUAACCGGGGAACUGCGUCUGAUACUGGAUGGCUUGAGGUUGGGAGAGGGAUGCGGAAUUCCAGGUGUAGCGGUGAAAUGCGCAGAUAUCAGGAGGAACACCGGUGGCGAAGGCGGUUCUCUGGGCCUUACCUGACACUGAGGAGCGAAAGCGUGGGGAGCGAACAGG
rnacentral:rRNA from 1 species